AAACCAACAGGGAUUGCCUUAGUAGCGGCGAGUGAAGCGGCAAAAGCUCAAAUUUGAAAUCUGGCUCUUUCAGAGUCCGAGUUGUAAUUUGAAGAAGGUAUCUUUGGGUCUGGCUCUUGUCUAUGUUUCUUGGAACAGAACGUCACAGAGGGUGAGAAUCCCGUGCGAUGAGAUGAUCCAGGCCUAUGUAAAGUUCCUUUGAAGAGUCGAGUUGUUUGGGAAUGCAGCUCUAAGUGGGUGGUAAAUUCCAUCUAAAGCUAAAUAUUGGCGAGAGACCGAUAGCGAACAAGUACAGUGAUGGAAAGAUGAAAAGAACUUUGAAAAGAGAGUGAAAAAGUACGUGAAAUUGUUGAAAGGGAAGGGCUUGAGAUCAGACUUGGUAUUUUGUAUGUUACUUCUUCGGGGGUGGCCUCUACAGUUUAUCGGGCCAGCAUCAGUUUGGGCGGUAGGAGAAUUGCGUUGGAAUGUGGCACGGCUUCGGUUGUGUGUUAUAGCCUUCGUCGAUACUGCCAGCCUAGACUGAGGACUGCGGUUUAUACCUAGGAUGUUGGCAUAAUGAUCUUAAGUCGC
rnacentral:rRNA from 1 species